rnacentral:rRNA from 1 species
AUUGAACGCUGGCGGCAUGCUUUACACAUGCAAGUCGAACGGCCGCGCGGGCUGCGGGCUCGCGGCAAGCUGCGGAGCGGUGAGUAAUACAAUGGUACGUGCGCCAUGGUGGGGGAUAGCUCGACGAAAGCCGUAUUAAUACUGCAUACGACCUGAGGGGGCAGUGCGUGGAGCAUCGGACCCCGCGCCAUUGCAGCACCCGAUGCCAGGUUAGUUAGUUGGUGGGGUCAAGACCUUCCACGGCGACUAUGUGUGGCUGGGCUGAGAGGACGACCAGCCACACCGGGUGGGAGACACGGCCAAGACUCCUACGGUAGGCAGCAGUGGGGAAUUUUGGACAAUGGGCGAAAGCCUGACCCAGCAAUGCCGCGUGUGUGAUGAAGGCCUUCGGGUUGUAAAGCACUUUUGGCGGGAACGAACAGGACUGUGCCAAUCCAACGAUUCGAUGACGGUACCCGCAGAAUAAGAACCGGCUAACUACGUG